rnacentral:piRNA from 1 species
UGCUAAAGAGAUGAUCGUACCUGAGA